rnacentral:rRNA from 1 species
ACCUGCGGAGGGAUCAUUACUGAGUUACCGCUCAUCAACCCUUUGUGAACAUACCUUAACUGUUGCUUCGGCGGGUAGGCGUCCCCUAAAAAGGACGUCUCCCGGCCCUCUCCCGUCCGCGGGUGGGGCGCCCGCCGGAGGAUAACCAAACUCUGAUUUAACGACGUUUCUUCUGAGUGACACAAGCAAAUAAUCAAAACUUUUAACAACGGAUCUCUUGGUUCUGGCAUCGAUGAAGAACGCAGCGAAAUGCGAUAAGUAAUGUGAAUUGCAGAAUUCAGUGAAUCAUCGAAUCUUUGAACGCACAUUGCGCCCGCCAGCAUUCUGGCGGGCAUGCCUGUUCGAGCGUCAUUUCAACCCUCAAGCUCUGCUUGGUGUUGGGGCUCUACGGUUGACGUAGGCCCUUAAAGGUAGUGGCGGACCCUCUCGGAGCCUCCUUUGCGUAGUAACAUUUCGUCUCGCAUUGGGAUUCGGAGGGACUCUAGCCGUAAAACCCCCAAUUUUACUAAGGUUGACCUCGGAUCAGGUAGGAAUACCC